GAUUAAGAACGUAGCGAAAUGCGAUAAGUAAUGUGAAUUGCAGAAUUCAGUGAAUCAUCGAAUCUUUGAACGCACAUUGCGCCCGCCAGUAUUCUGGCGGGCAUGCCUGUCUGAGCGUCAUUUCAACCCUCAUGCCCCUAGGGCGUGGUGUUGGGGAUCGGCCAAAGCCCGCGAGGGACGGCCGGCCCCUAAAUCUAGUGGCGGACCCGUCGUGGCCUCCUCUGCGAAGUAGUGAUAUUCCGCAUCGGAGAGCGACGAGCCCCUGCCGUUAAACCCCCAACUUUCCAAGGUUGACCUCAGAUCAGGUAGGAAUACCCGCUGAACUUAAGCAUAUCAAUAAGCGGAGGA
rnacentral:misc_RNA from 1 species